rnacentral:rRNA from 1 species
AUAGGGGGCAAGCGUUAUCCGGAAUUAUUGGGUGUAAAGGGUGCGUAGACGGAAGAACAAGUUGGUUGUGAAAUCCCUCGGCUCAACUGAGGAACUGCAACCAAAACUAUUCUCCUUGAGUGUCGGAGAGGAAAGUGGAAUUCCUAGUGUAGCGGUGAAAUGCGUAGAUAUUAGGAGGAACACCAGUGGCGAAGGCGACUUUCUGGACGAUAACUGACGUUGAGGCACGAAAGUGUGGGGAGCAAA